AACGUAGGAGACGACCGUUAUCCGGAGUUACUGGGCGUAAAGGGCGUGCAGGCGGUCUGAUAAGUUCGGCGUGAAAUAUUCCGGCUUAACCGGGAUAGGUCGUCGGAGACUGUCGGACUAGAGGGUGAUAGAGGCGUGUGGAAUUCCGGGUGUAGUGGUGAAAUGCGUAGAGAUCCGGAGGAACCCCAGUGGCGAAGGCGACACGCUGGGUCACACCUGACGCUAAAGCGCGACAGCAUGGGGAGCGAACGGG
rnacentral:rRNA from 1 species